AUCUUGGUGGAGAUCUUGGCAUAGCUGAGGCCUUCUGAAGCAUUUUCAUAUCACUAUCAGACUACGUAAAAAGUCGGUCCCUCUCCUGCUUAUAAGCUCCCUUCAAGAACUGGAAAGCUGUAAUGAGGUCUCCCUGGAAUUCUCCAUGUCUCAACUUAAGGAUGGUGAAACACACUGCUUCUUCCACUCCCUGCUGAAUUUGAGUGCCUUUCUUACUGGAAUCGUAAGGGACCAGAAACUCUUGAUGCAAAACAAUUUGUCAGAUGGGAGGCUGGCCGUGUAUUAACUGGAUUCUCUGAAUGAAAGUCUCACCUCUAUUGAAGUGAGUGUGAGAACUUAGUUCUGAGUUGAAAAAGAACUGAAGAUGUAGGCGUUACAGAUCUCAGAAGGAACUGUUUAGAUUUGCGUUGCCUUUUUUAGCCAUGAAAGACCUGCUGAGGGCUUGAGGUCAGCCUGAAACUGUGAGAUGAUCCCGUCAACAGUUUUUGCAGUUUUCCCCUGAAAUAGUCUAAUUUAAUGAGAGCAAGAUUUUCUGAAAUCUUUUGCGGUAUUGAAUGGAACUGAAAGAGUGGUCAUAUAAACAAAAGGCAAAAUUGGUUUUCUGUGAUCUUUAGGCUUGUAGCUGAGAAUUUGUCUGUCAUAAUUCUUAGAAGGAUUUUGUAUUAUAAAUUCUUGAUUGUUUUUAUGUUUUCCUGAUGUUCCAAGUUUGCAGUUUUAAUUCAGUUUAAUCUGUGUAUGGAUAACUGAUCAGCAGCUUUACUGUGGCAUCAAUUCAUUAGAACUACCCAAUGUACUCAAGAUUUUUACAUGAAAGAUGAGCAGUUCUGCCAACAGAAGAUGAUUAAUCAAAAGAAAUCAUAAAUUAUGCAAGACACUGACUUCUUCCUUUUCCUCAGUAACUAUGCAAGUGACAUUAAAUAAGGGACAUUUUUAAUCAUUAAAUGAGAAAUUUAUUAAUAUAAGAAGUACUAAUGAAAGUCAUAAAAUUUGAAGUGGGGGGAAAAAAAAGGAAUAUUAGUUUUGGUAGGUGUAGCUUACGCUACAGACCACUCGUAAAUAUCAUUCUUCUAAUCAGUGUUGGCAUUACCAGUAGAACAGAUGGAAAUUCUCCUGAAUAAAUAGUUUUUUUUCUGAGUCAUUCCUAUUUGAACUAAGUAGAGACAUUAGUAUGUGGGGAUGAACGCAUUGAGAUGGCAUUGUUGUUUUUGUAAUGGUUUCUGUAUGUGGAAGAGACAUAUUGUGCAAGACAAAAGUGCAGAAUAAUAGAGUAAACCAAAGCAGAUACUGUUUUUGUAGAGAUGGAUAAGACCACAGCCUCAUGAUCCCACUUUCAGUUUGGAACCAUUUCCCCUUGUCCUAUCAAAACAGACCCUGCUGAAGAGUGUUCGCUUCUUUCUUAAAACCUCCCUUUAGAUACUGAAAGGACUUCAUUUCAGAAUACUAAGAGAAGUGGUUCAUAGGAAAAAGUAGUUAAAAUCUGAUGAUCAGACAGUAGAAUGUCAUCUUUGUUGAAGGAAUCCUAACUAUAUUAUUAUUUUUUAAAGACUUAGAGAAUAGAAGGCAAUCAGAACUACUGGAGAAAGGCAUAAUUCUGUCCUUAAAUAGUGAUGCAGAAUCACAUUCUUGUCAACCUUUCACUUCUAAUUUUGUUAGAUUUCCCACAAGAGAGAGAUUAUCUUCAUAUUUUUUUUCCUUGAGAUGCUCUACUAGAAAACAAUCUAAAAAUAUUUUUGUAUGUUUUUUUUUUAGAAUUAGUGGUGUAUUUUUGCUUUGUGUGAGAGCACAAUUUGAUGUUUGAGGUUAUACGCUCGGAGAAAUCUACUGUAAAUUAAUUGUCUUGAAUAUAUUUCCUCUUCUCUUAUUUUUAUGUACCUGCUUAACUUCAUUAGUGUGAGAAGUACUCCUUAUAAUUAGUGGUGUUGCUGUUGAGGUAGAGUUAAAACUCUGUAUAGAUGCCUAAAGGCAGACCAUCAAUCUCUAGGCGUUCUCUGAAUCCAUGACAACAUGGGAUACUUCAAAAAUGUAGAAAAAGAAGUCUACUACUACAGCUCAGAUUGAAAGCACACUUCAAAAGACAGUGUUGCAUGAUAUAAUAAUAUCUGAACUGUCAAGAGCUAGAAAGAUGGAAGAACUUAAUAGCUGGUGACAUUUGUGAGAUUUUUGAAACUUAAGAAUGCCCCUUUACCAUGUAAGUAUAAUGUGAUAUUUUUCCAUCAGUGGAUACCUUGGGCAAUAAAAAACUAAAG
ensembl:lncRNA